CGAAUAUCUAAGGUUUCCAGAGUAAAGCUGAUCUGCUCUGGGUAAGUCGGGGCCUAAGCACAGGUCGCAAGACGUAAGCGAUGGAUAACAGGUUUAGAUUCCUGUACCACGCAUUAUCAGAACUGUAGGGACGCAUGUGGAAAGCACGAGCCGGGAAUGGAAAGACCGGUACAAGCGGGGUAGGAGUACAAUAGGCAAAUCCGUUGUAUGAUCCGAAGACGUGAUGUGGAGCGAAAUAAAGUAGUGAAGCGUGUGAGCCAUGUGCCGAGAAAAGCUGCUAUUGUGUAAUGCGUGCCCGUACCGUAAACCGACACAGGUGGAUGAGGAGAGAAUCCUAAGGCCGACGGAAGAAGCAUUGUUAAGGAAUUCGGCAAAAUGACCCCGUAACUUCGGGAGAAGGGGUGCCUGCGAGAGCAGGCCGCAGAGAAUAGGCUCAAGCAACUGUUUAGCAAAAACACAGGUCUAUGCGAAACCGAAAGGUGAAGUAUAUGGGCUGACGCCUGCCCGGUGCUGGAAGGUUAAGAGGAGAGGUUAGCGUAAGCGAAGCUUUGAAUUUAAGCCCCAGUAAACGGCGGCCGUAACUAUAACGGUCCUAAGGUAGCGAAAUUCCUUGUCGGGUAAGUUCCGACCCGCACGAAAGGCGUAAUGAUUUGAGCACUGUCUCGACAAUGCAUCCGGUGAAAUUGAAGUACCAGUGAAGAUGCUGGUUACCCGCGCCAGGACGGAAAGACCCCAUGGAGCUUUACUCCAGUUUGAUACUGGGAUUCGGUACUGCAUGUACAGGAUAGGUGGGAGACGAAGAAGGAUGGACGCCAGUCUGUCCGGAGUCGCUGUUGGGAUACCACCCCUGUAGUACUGGGUUUCUAACCAGUUACCAUGAUCUGGUAAUGGGACAAUGUCAGGCGGGGAGUUUGACUGGGGCGGUCGCCUCCGAAAGGGUAUCGGAGGCGCUCAAAGGUUCCCUCAGAAUGGUUGGAAACCAUUUGAAGAGUGCAAAGGCAGAAGGGAGCUUGACUGCGACACCGACGGGUGGAGCAGGUACGAAAGUAGGACUUAGUGAUCCGGUGGUAUAAAGUGGGAUUGCCAUCGCUCAACGGAUAAAAGCUACCCUGGGGAUAACAGGCUUAUCACUCCCAAGAGUUCACAUCGACGGAGUGGUUUGGCACCUCGAUGUCGGCUCAUCGCAUCCUGGGGCUGUAGCAGGUCCCAAGGGUUGGGCUGUUCGCCCAUUAAAGCGGUACGCGAGCUGGGUUCAGAACGUCGUGAGACAGUUCGGUCCCUAUCCGGCGCGGGCGGAGGAUAUUUGAGAGGAGCUGUCCUUAGUACGAGAGGACCGGGAUGGACGGACCACUGGUGUAUCUGUUGUCGACCAACGGCAUGGCAGAGUAGCCAAGUCUGGAAGGGAUAAACGCUGAAGGCAUCUAAGCGUGAAGCCCCCCUCAAGAUGAGAUAUCCCUCCUUCGGGAGUAAGACCCCUUGAAGACUACAAGGUAGAUAGGGCAGAGGUGGAAGCAUGGCAACAUGUGGAGCUGACUGUUACUAAUAGGUCGAGGGCUUAAUCU
rnacentral:rRNA from 1 species